CGAGCGGCGGACGGGUGAGUAACACGUGGGUAACCUGCCCAAGAGACUGGGAUAACACCUGGAAACAGAUGCUAAUACCGGAUAACAACACUAGACGCAUGUCUAGAGUUUGAAAGAUGGUUCUGCUAUCACUCUUGGAUGGACCUGCGGUGCUUUAGCUAGUUGGUAAGGUAACGGCUUACCAAGGCAAUGAUGCAUAGCCGAGUUGAGAGACUGAUCGGCCACAUUGGGACUGAGACACGGCCCAAACUCCUACGGGAGGCAGCAGUAGGGAAUCUUCCACAAUGGACGAAAGUCUGAUGGAGCAACGCCGCGUGAGUGAAGAGGGGUUUCGGCUCGUAAAGCUCUGUUGGUAGUGAAGAAAGAUAGAGGUAGUAACUGGCCUUUAUUUGACGGUAAUUACUUAGAAAGUCACGGCUAACUACGUGCCAGCAGCCGCGGUAAUACGUAGGUGGCAAGCGUUGUCCGGAUUUAUUGGGCGUAAAGCGAGUGCAGGCGGUUCAAUAAGUCUGAUGUGAAAGCCUUCGGCUCAACCGGAGAAUUGCAUCAGAAACUGUUGAACUUGAGUGCAGAAGAGGAGAGUGGAACUCCAUGUGUAGCGGUGGAAUGCGUAGAUAUAUGGAAGAACACCAGUGGCGAAGGCGGCUCUCUGGUCUGCAACUGACGCUGAGGCUCGAAAGCAUGG
rnacentral:rRNA from 1 species